rnacentral:rRNA from 1 species
UAGGGAAUCUUCCGCAAUGGGCGAAAGCCUGACGGAGCAACGCCGCGUGAGUGAUGAAGGUCUUCGGAUCGUAAAACUCUGUUAUUAGGGAAGAACAUAUGUGUAAGUAACUGUGCACAUCUUGACGGUACCUAAUCAGAAAGCCACGGCUAACUACGUGCCAGCAGCCGCGGUAAUACGUAGGUGGCAAGCGUUAUCCGGAAUUAUUGGGCGUAAAGCGCGCGUAGGCGGUUUUUUAAGUCUGAUGUGAAAGCCCACGGCUCAACCGUGGAGGGUCAUUGGAAACUGGAAAACUUGAGUGCAGAAGAGGAAAGUGGAAUUCCAUGUGUAGCGGUGAAAUGCGCAGAGAUAUGGAGGAACACCAGUGGCGAAGGCGACUUUCUGGUCUGUAACUGACGCUGAUGUGCGAAAGCGUGGGGAUCAAACAGGAUUAGAUACCCUGGUAGUCCACGCCGUAAACGAUGAGUGCUAAGUGUUAAGGGGUUUCCGCCCCUUAGUGCUGCAGCUAACGCAUUAAGCACUCCGCCUGGGGAGUACGACCCCAAGGUUG